UUGGGAUUACACACAUUUUUCUGGCAGGCAGACAUGUAGCCUGAUUUAACAACUUCUCAUGCUGCUUCUCUCCUUUCUAUAUUUGUACUAAACAUCAGUUGAAUCCUUUGAAUAUUCAUAUUGAGUUUACAUGUCCUUACUUUUCACAUUCAAGUUUUGAAUAAUUAUAUUCUGAGAACUUCAUCAGCGGCAGCAAAAUAAUUUGCAAAUCUGAGGAGCCUUGUGUACUCUCUGUUACCUUGAGGCCAUAGUACUUCAGUUCACAUUUUCUGAAGCUUUUCUGCUGGCAAAAGGUAAAUUCCCAGAGGUGAGUUUCAUUCUGAUUUGUCUUGGGAUCACCACAGGAAUGUUCUUAAUUUGAAUGGUGGUGAAGCUGUGAACAUACUGGAAAUAUUUGGGCCUGAAAAGACAACACUAUGUUCACCAAACUCCUAUGGUACUUUGUACAACUCUAGUGUGCAAAAAAGUAAUAAAUUCACUUUAAAUAAAAUUUUAAGAAAG